GGAAUAGGACCCUGUCCUCCUAUUUUCAGUUGGUUUGCCGCGAGGACCAGGGUAAUGAUUAAUAGGGAUAGUUGGGGGCAUUAAUAUUUAAUUGUCAGAGGUGAAAUUCUUGGAUUUAUGAAAGAUUAACUUCUGCGAAAGCAUCUGCCAAGGAUGUUUUCAUUAAUCAAGAACGAAAGUUAGGGGAUCGAAGACGAUCAGAUACCGUCGUAGUCUUAACCAUAAACGAUGCCGACCAGCGAUUAGGAGACGUUGAAUACAAAACACCACCAUGCGCAUUGCGGUCGUCUUUGGUGUCGCUCACAAGGCGGCACCGGGGCGGCUUAGCUCGCAUGGCACCGGUG
rnacentral:rRNA from 1 species